CCCUUAGAUGUUCUGGGCCGCACGCGCGCUACACUGAUGCAUUCAACGAGUCUAAAACCUGCUCUGAUAGGGGUGGGUAAUCUUUUGAAUGUGCAUCGUGAUUGGGAUGGAUGAUUGCAAUUUUUCAUCUUCAACGAGGAAUGCCUAGUAAACGCAAGUCAUCAGCUUGCAUUGAUUACGUCCCUGCCCUUUGUACACACCGCCCGUCGCUCCUACCGAUUGAAUGAUCCGAUGAAUAUCAUGGAUUGAGGAUGCAAGCAGGUUCGCCUGUCUUCAUCUUCGAGAAGUGAAGUAAAUCUUAUCAUUUAGAGGAAGGAGAAGUCGUAACA
rnacentral:rRNA from 1 species